GGGGAAUAUUGCACAAUGGGCGCAAGCCUGAUGCAGCGACGCCGCGUGAGGGAUGACGGCCUUCGGGUUGUAAACCUCUUUCAGUAGGGAAGAAGCGAAAGUGACGGUACCUGCAGAAGAAGCGCCGGCUAACUACGUGCCAGCAGCCGCGGUAAUACGUAGGGCGCAAGCGUUAUCCGGAAUUAUUGGGCGUAAAGAGCUCGUAGGCGGUUUGUCGCGUCUGCCGUGAAAGUCCGGGGCUCAACUCCGGAUCUGCGGUGGGUACGGGCAGGCUAGAGUGAUGUAGGGGAGACUGGAAUUCCUGGUGUAGCGGUGAAAUGCGCAGAUAUCAGGAGGAACACCGAUGGCGAAGGCAGGUCUCUGGGCAUUAACUGACGCUGAGGAGCGAAAGCAUGGGGAGCGAACAGGAUUAGAUACCCUGGUAGUCCAUGCCGUAAACGUUGGGCACUAGGUGUGGGGGACAUUCCACGUUUUCCGCGCCGUAGCUAACGCAUUAAGUGCCCCGCCUGGGGAGUACGGCCGCAAGGCUAAAACUCAAAGGAAUUGACGG
rnacentral:rRNA from 1 species